rnacentral:rRNA from 1 species
CGGGACACGUGGUAUCCUGUCUGAAUAUGGGGGGACCAUCCUCCAAGGCUAAAUACUCCUGACUGACCGAUAGUGAACCAGUACCGUGAGGGAAAGGCGAAAAGAACCCCGGCGAGGGGAGUGAAAAAGAACCUGAAACCGUGUACGUACAAGCAGUGGGAGCACGCUUAGGCGUGUGACUGCGUACCUUUUGUAUAAUGGGUCAGCGACUUAUAUUCUGUAGCAAGGUUAACCGAAUAGGGGAGCCGAAGGGAAACCGAGUCUUAACUGGGCGUUAAGUUGCAGGGUAUAGACCCGAAACCCGGUGAUCUAGCCAUGGGCAGGUUGAAGGUUGGGUAACACUAACUGGAGGACCGAACCGACUAAUGUUGAAAAAUUAGCGGAUGACUUGUGGCUGGGGGUGAAAGGCCAAUCAAACCGGGAGAUAGCUGGUUCUCCCCGAAAGCUAUUUAGGUAGCGCCUCGUGAAUUCAUCUCCGGGGGUAGAGCACUGUUUCGGCAAGGGGGUCAUCCCGACUUACCAACCCGAUGCAAACUGCGAAUACCGGAGAAUGUUAUCACGGGAGACACACGGCGGGUGCUAACGUCCGUCGUGAAGAGGGAAACAACCCAGACCGCCAGCUAAGGUCCCAAAGUCAUGGUUAAGUGGGAAACGAUGUGGGAAGGCCCAGACAGCCAGGAUGUUGGCUUAGAAGCAGCCAUCAUUUAAAGAAAGCGUAAUAGCUCACUGGUCGAGUCGGCCUGCGCGGAAGAUGUAACGGGGCUAAACCAUGCACCGAAGCUGCGGCAGCGACGCUUAUGCGUUGUUGGGU